UCGACUCAUCGACUAUGGACGUACUAGGCCACUACACCAUAGUCCCCAGACGAUAUAGGGGAAUCCAAUCCAUUGGACCUGUCUGUCCUCAGUUACCGUGUACCUAUAGUCCCUCAUCCAUCUAAUAUCCUAGAGACCGUAUAUCGAGCAUGGUGUUGUCAGACCCAUACGGUUUCUACUCGAGUCUCGCUCUAAUCGGA
rnacentral:lncRNA from 1 species